rnacentral:rRNA from 1 species
UACGUAGGUGACAAGCGUUGUCCGGAUUUACUGGGCGUAAAGAGCGCGCAGGCGGUCGUUCAAGUCGAGUGUGAAAGCCCCCGGCUCAACUGGGGAGGGUCACUCGAUACUGAUCGACUCGAAGGCAGGAGAGGGUAGUGGAAUUCCCGGUGUAGUGGUGAAAUGCGUAGAUAUCGGGAGGAACACCAGUGGCGAAGGCGACUACCUGGCCCAUUCUUGACGCUGAGGCGCGAAAGCUAGGGGAGCGAACGGG